AUUGAACGCUGGCGGCAGGCCUAACACAUGCAAGUCGAACGAGUGGCGGACGGGUGAGUAAUGUCUGGGAAACUGCCUGAUGGAGGGGGAUAACUACUGGAAACGGUAGCUAAUACCGCAUACCAUCGGAUGUGCCCAGAUGGGAUUAGCUAGUAGGUGGGGUAAUGGCUCACCUAGGCGACGAUCCCUAGCUGGUCUGAGAGGAUGACCAGCCACACUGGAACUGAGAACCGGUCCAAACUCCUACGGGAGGCAGCAGUGGGGGAUAUUGCACAGUGGGCGCAAGCCCUAUGCAGCCAAGCCGGGUGUAUUAAGAAGGCCUUCGGGUUGUAAAGUACUUUCAGCGGAGAGGCGUUACCCGCAGGAGGAGCACCGGCUAACUCCGGGACAGCAACCGCGGUAAUUA
rnacentral:rRNA from 1 species